rnacentral:rRNA from 1 species
CACUCCUACGGGAGGCAGCAGUGGGGAAUAUUGCACAAUGGGCGCAAGCCUGAUGCAGCCAUGCCGCGUGUAUGAAGAAGGCCUUCGGGUUGUAAAGUACUUUCAGCGGGGAGGAAGGCGAUAAGGUUAAUAACCUUGUUGAUUGACGUUACCCGCAGAAGAAGCACCGGCUAACUCCGUGCCAGCAGCCGCGGUAAUACGGAGGGUGCAAGCGUUAAUCGGAAUUACUGGGCGUAAAGCGCACGCAGGCGGUCUGUUAAGUCGGAUGUGAAAUCCCCGGGCUCAACCUGGGAACUGCAUUCGAAACUGGCAGGCUAGAGUCUUGUAGAGGGGGGUAGAAUUCCAGGUGUAGCGGUGAAAUGCGUAGAGAUCUGGAGGAAUACCGGUGGCGAAGGCGGCCCCCUGGACAAAGACUGACGCUCAGGUGCGAAAGCGUGGGGAGCAAACAGGAUUAGAAACCCCAGUAGUCCCAUGA